rnacentral:RNase_P_RNA from 1 species
CGAGCCGGGCGGACGGCCGCGUGAAGCUCCCCUCACCAGGGGCUCUUCCCGAGGAACGUCCGGGCUCCACAGGGCAAGGUGGUGGCUAACGGCCACCCGGGGUGACCCGCGGGACAGUGCCACAGAAAACAGACCGCCGGGGACUUCGGUCUCCGGUAAGGGUGAAACGGUGGUGUAAGAGACCACCAGCGCCUGAGGUGACUCAGGCGGCUAGGUAAACCCCACCUGGAGCAAGGUCAAGAGGGGCCCUGGAAACAGGACCCUGCGCGGAUGAUCGAGGGCUGCCCGCCCGAGUCCGCGGGUAGACCGCACGAGGUCCGCAGCAAUGCGGACCCUAGAUGGAUGGCCGUCUCCCCGGCCGCCGCGAGGCGCCCGGGCGACAGAACCCGGCGUACAGCCCGACUCGUCUG